rnacentral:rRNA from 1 species
UCCCUUGAAAGGGAGGUAAAAUUCUAUUUUAAAAGGAUUUAAAAUUAAAACUCUAAAUUCAUGGCUAUAAACAAAGGAUUAGAUACCCUUCUAUACUUGAAGACUCAACUUCAAGUAGUAAAAGCUAUUUUUUCGACAAUUAAAGGGCUUGGCGGCUUUUCUUAUAACCAGGGGAGUUUGUGUUAUUAUCCACAGCACGCCUUUUACCCUACUUAAUUCUAGCUUGUGUACCGCCGUCUCAAUACCCUUUGUAGAGUAAAUUACAAUCAGGGAUAAAAACGCCAGGCCAUGGUGCAGCACAAUUAAGGAAAUUACAAACUACAAUUUGCUAAAAAAUGGAAUUAGAGUUAAAAUUUUAAUAAAAGUGGACUUGGAAGUAAUUACUAGAUUAGAAUACAGUAAUAAAUUUUAAACUAUAAGUGUACAUAUCGCCCGUCACUCU